UCCCUGGUGGUCCAGUGGUUAGGACACCGAGCUUUCGAUGCUGAGGGCCCAGGUUCAAUCUCUGGUCAGGGAA